rnacentral:rRNA from 1 species
AGUGAACGCUGGCGGCAGGCCUAACACAUGCAAGUCGAGCGGCAGCGGGGUCCCCGCGAGGGGGAUGCCGGCGAGCGGCGGACGGGUGAGGAACACAUCGGAAUCUGCCUGGUUGUGGGGGAUAACGUAGGGAAACUUACGCUAAUACCGCAUGCGACCCUGAGUCGACGGACUUGGGGUGAAAGUGAGGGACCUUCGGGCCUCACGCGACCAGAUGAGCCGAUGUCGGAUUAGCUAGUUGGCGGGGUAACGGCCCGCCAAGGCGACGAUCCGUAGCUGGUCUGAGAGGAUGAUCAGCCACACUGGGACUGAGACACGGCCCAGACUCCUACGGGAGGCAGCAGUGGGGAAUCUUGGACAAUGGGCGCAAGCCUGAUCCAGCCAUGCCGCGU